AAAAAGGCAAACCCUAGGUUUCCGUGCCAACGUUUGACUGUCUGUCUUAUAUAAAAUUUUUUUAUAAUUAGUAUUUUCAUUGUUGUUAGAUGAUAAAACAUGAUUAAUACUUUAUGCGUGACUUAUCUUUUUAUUUUUUUUAUAAUUUUUUCGACGGUCAAACGUUGGACAUGGAAACCAGGGUUUGUCUUUUU
rfam:Oryza rufipogon genomic scaffold, chr07